rnacentral:rRNA from 1 species
GAUGAACGCUGGCGGCGUGCCUAACACAUGCAAGUCGAACGGAGUCGUUUUGGAAAUCUCUUCGGAGAUGGAAUUCUCGACUUAGUGGCGGACGGGUGAGUAACGCGUGAGCAAUCUGCCUUUAAGAGGGGGAUAACAGUCGGAAACGGCUGCUAAUACCGCAUAAAGCAUUAAAUUCGCAUGUUUUUGAUGCCAAAGGAGCAAUCCGCUUUUAGAUGAGCUCGCGUCUGAUUAGCUAGUUGGCGGGGUAACGGCCCACCAAGGCGACGAUCAGUAGCCGGACUGAGAGGUAGAACGGCCACAUUGGGACUGAGACACGGCGCAGACUCCUACGGGAGGCAGCAGUGGGGAAUAUUGCGCAAUGGGGGAAACCCUGACGCAGCAACGCCGCGUGAUUGAAGAAGGCCUUCGGGUUGUAAAGAUCUUUAAUCAGGGACGAAACAAAUGACGGUACCUGAAGAAUAAGCUCCGGCUAACUACGUG